rnacentral:rRNA from 1 species
AUUGAACGCUGGCGGAAUGCUUUACACAUGCAAGUCGAGCGGCAGCGCGGGGGCAACCCUGGCGGCGAGCGGCGAACGGGUGAGUAAUACAUCGGAACGUGCCCAGUAAUGGGGGAUAACACAGCGAAAGUUGUGCUAAUACCGCAUACGCCCUGAGGGGGAAAGCGGGGGAUCGUAAGACCUCGCGUUAUUGGAGCGGCCGAUGUCGGAUUAGCUAGUUGGUGAGGUAAAGGUUCACCAAGGCGACGAUCCGUAGCGGGUCUGAGAGGACGGCCGGCCGCACUGGGACUGAGACACGGCCCAGACUCCUACGGGAGGCAGCAGUGGGGAAUAUUGGACAAUGGGCGCAAGCCUGAUCCAGCAAUGCCGCGUGUGUGAAGAAGGCCUUCGGGUUGUAAAGCACUUUAGCCUGGAAAGAAAAAACUUUGGUUAACACCCAAAGUCUUGACGGUACCAGGAGAAUAAGCACCGGCUAACUCUGUGCCAGCCGCCGCGGUAAUAC